rnacentral:rRNA from 1 species
UACGUAGGGAGCAAGCGUUGUCCGGAAUCAUUGGGCGUAAAGCGCGCGUAGGCGGCCCUGUAAGUCCGUUGUGAAAGUCAAAGGCUCAACCUUUGAAAGCCGAUGGAUACUGCAGGGCUGGAGUCCGGAAGAGGCGAGUGGAAUUCCUGGUGUAGCGGUGAAAUGCGCAGAUAUCAGGAGGAACACCAAUUGCGAAGGCAGCUCGCUGGGACGUUACUGACGCUGAGACGCGAAAGCGUGGGGAGCAAACAGG